rnacentral:lncRNA from 1 species
GAUGUGCUAAUGGAUGACACGGAUGACAAGGAAAGUGCCAUCGUACAUGCUCUGGGUGUCUUGAGGAGCUUGUCUUUGGAUGAUGCUGAGCAGGUCUUUCUUUCUGGUAAAGAUUAUCAUUACAGUGAAGUAAAAGAAUUUAACAGACAAACAACUGACGAAAGAAGAGAGACCAUUCAAUAGAGGACUUCUAAAUGUAUCCAUAAUCCUGAAACAGACCGUAUCAUGAGCAGAUGCUGUGGUGGU